rnacentral:rRNA from 1 species
GCGAACGCUGGCGGCAGGCCUAACACAUGCAAGUCGAACGAACCUUUCGGGGUUAGUGGCGGACGGGUGAGUAACACGUGGGAACGUGCCUUUAGGUUCGGAAUAACUCAGGGAAACUUGUGCUAAUACCGAAUGUGCCCUUCGGGGGAAAGAUUUAUCGCCUUUAGAGCGGCCCGCGUCUGAUUAGCUAGUUGGUUGAGGUAAUGGCUCACCAAGGCGACGAUCAGUAGCUGGUCUGAGAGGAUGAUCAGCCACAUUGGGACUGAGACACGGCCCAAACUCCUACGGGAGGCAGCAGUGGGGAAUCUUGCGCAAUGGGCGAAAGCCUGACGCAGCCAUGCCGCGUGAAUGAUGAAGGUCUUAGGAUUGUAAAAUUCUUUCACCGGGGACGAUAAUGACGGUACCCGGAGAAGAAGCCCCGGCUAACUUCGU